UAGGGAAUCUUCCGCAAUGGGCGAAAGCCUGACGGAGCAACGCCGCGUGAGUGAUGAAGGUCUUCGGAUCGUAAAACUCUGUUAUUAGGGAAGAACAAAUGUGUAAGUAACUAUGCACAUCUUGACGGUACCUAAUCAGAAAGCCACGGCUAACUACGUGCCAGCAGCCGCGGUAAUACGUAGGUGGCAAGCGUUAUCCGGAAUUAUUGGGCGUAAAGCGCGCGUAGGCGGUUUUUUAAGUCUGAUGUGAAAGCCCACGGCUCAAUCGUGGAGGGUCAUUGGAAACUGGAAAACUUGAGUGCAGAAGAGGAAAGUGGAAUUCCAUGUGUAGCGGUGAAAUGCGCAGAGAUAUGGAGGAACACCAGUGGCGAAGGCGACUCUCUGGUCUGUAACUGACGCUGAGGCUCGAAAGCGUGGGUAGCAAACAGG
rnacentral:rRNA from 1 species